rnacentral:rRNA from 1 species
AGUCACGGCCAUAUCCGCUGGAAAGCACCGGAUCCCGUCCGAUCUCCGCAGUUAAACCAGUGUGAGCUUGCGCAGUACUGAAGCGGGAGACCCUUCGGGAAAAGCGAGUGCUGUGAUUU